UACGUAGGGUGCAAGCGUUGUCCGGAAUUAUUGGGCGUAAAGAGCUCGUAGGUGGUCUAUCACGUCGGAUGUGAAGCCCUGAGGCUCAACCUCAGGCCUGCAUUCGAUACGGGCAGACUAGAGUGUGGUAGGGGAGACUGGAAUUCCUGGUGUAGCGGUGAACUGCGCAGAUAUCAGGAGGAACACCGGUGGCGAAGGCGGGUCUCUGGGCCAUUACUGACACUUAGGAGCGAAAGCGUGGGGGGCAAACAGG
rnacentral:rRNA from 1 species